rnacentral:rRNA from 1 species
GAUGAACGCUGGCGGCGUGCCUAAUACAUGCAAGUCGAGCGAACGGACGAGAAGCUUGCUUCUCUGAUGUUAGCGGCGGACGGGUGAGUAACACGUGGAUAACCUACCUAUAAGACUGGGAUAACUUCGGGAAACCGGAGCUAAUACCGGAUGAUAUUUUGAACCGCAUGGUUCAAAAGUGAAAGACGGUCUUGCUGUCACUUAUAGAUGGAUCCGCGCUGCAUUAGCUAGUUGGUAAGGUAACGGCUUACCAAGGCAACGAUGCAUAGCCGACCUGAGAGGGUGAUCGGCCACCCUGGAACUGAGACACGGUCCAGACUCCUACGGGAGGCAGCAGUAGGGAAUCUUCCGCAUUGGGCGAAAGCCUGACGGAGCAACGCCGCGUGAGUGAUGAAGGUCUUCGGAUCGUAAAACUCUGUUAUUAGGGAAGAACAUAUGUGUAAGUAACUGUGCACAUCUUGACGGUACCUAAUCAGAAAGCCACGGCUAACUACGUG